rnacentral:rRNA from 1 species
GGUUAAGUGACUAAGCGUACACGGUGGAUGCCUUGGCAGUCAGAGGCGAUGAAAGACGUAGUAACUUGCGAUAAGCCCAGAUUAGGUAGUAACAACCAUUUGAGUCUGGGAUUUCUGAAUGGGGAAACCCACGUGCAUAAGCACGUAUCCUUACCUGAAUACAUAGGGUAAGGAGGCGAACCGGGGGAACUGAAACAUCUAAGUACCCCGAGGAAAAGAAAUCAACCGAGAUUCCGAAAGUAGCGGCGAGCGAAAUUGGACUAGCCCUUAAGCUUUACACGCGUUAGACGAACGGUCUGGAAAGUCCGACGAUACAGGGUGAUAGUCCCGUAGUUGACGACGUGUGUUCAGUGAAAUCGAGUAGGGCGGGACACGUGAUAUCCUGUCUGAAUAUGGGGGGACCAUCCUCCAAGGCUAAAUACUACUGACUGACCGAUAGUGAACCAGUACCGUGAGGGAAAGGCGAAAAGAACCCCUGUGAGGGGAGUGAAAUAGAACCUGAAACCGUGUACGUACAAGCAGUAGGAGCAGGCUUUGUCCUGUGACUGCGUACCUUUUGUAUAAUGGGUCAGCGACUUAUAUUCAGUGGCAAGGUUAACCAUCUAGGGGAGCCGUAGGGAAACCGAGUCUUAACUGGGCGUUCAGUCUCUGGAUAUAGACCCGAAACCAGGUGAUCUAGCCAUGGGCAGGUUGAAGGUUGAGUAACAUCAACUGGAGGACCGAACCGACUAAUGUUGAAAAAUUAGCGGAUGACUUGUGGCUAGGGGUGAAAGGCCAAUCAAACCUGGAGAUAGCUGGUUCUCCCCGAAAGCUAUUUAGGUAGCGCCUCGGACGAAUACUACUGGGGGUAGAGCACUGUUAAGGCUAGGGGGUCAUCCCGACUUACCAACCCUUUGCAAACUCCGAAUACCAGUAAGUACUAUCCGGGAGACACACGGCGGGUGCUAACGUCCGUCGUGGAGAGGGAAACAACCCAGACCGCCAGCUAAGGUCCCAAAUUACUACUAAGUGGGAAACGAUGUGGGAAGGCUCAGACAGCCAGGAUGUUGGCUUAGAAGCAGCCAUCAUUUAAAGAAAGCGUAAUAGCUCACUGGUCGAGUCGGCCUGCGCGGAAGAUGUAACGGGGCUAAGUAGUAAACCGAAGCUGCGGCAAU